CAGUAGCCCGGUAACACGAAGGGUGCAAGCGUUAAUCGGAAUUACUGGGCGUAAAGCGUGCGUAGGCGGUUUGUUAAGUCUGCUGUGAAAUCCCCGGGCUCAACCUGGGAAUGGCAGUGGAUACUGGCAAGCUAGAGUGUGUCAGAGGAUGGUGGAAUUCCCGGUGUAGCGGUGAAAUGCGUAGAGAUCGGGAGGAACAUCAGUGGCGAAGGCGGCCAUCUGGGACAACACUGACGCUGAGGCACGAAAGCGUGGGGAGCAAACAGGAUUAGAUACCCCCGUAGUCCCUGUCUCUUAUACC
rnacentral:rRNA from 1 species